UGCAGUUUCAGGUCGGACAGGGCAUCAAGGCUGCGCGAGCUCUGCAGGGUCAGCGCCGGGCAGUCCAGCACUGCGGCAAAAGCCAUUGGUGAAAAACAUCAAUGCAUUUGUGCUGUGUCACAGGAUGACCUCCGAGGUCACAGAAUACGGAUGGCAGCAUGCCACUGUGUCCUCUGGGUUGGGUCCAGAACAGAACAGAAGAACACCCACACAUGGAUUUUAGCCAGCUGACAAAAGCUGAAGAUGACACAAAGGCCACUUCUUUGAGGCCUUUCAAUCCUGAAUAGGAAACAGAAGACAGCCAGAGUGGAACCACUUUCUGUCGAAGAGACAUGAUGCAUCACCUGGCCUUCUAACUGAGAAUUGUUUUUCUCCACCCAGUUGGGAAAGGAUGAAAAAUCUAUUCAUCUGGCAAGUAAGAUAUAUCAUCCUACCACACCCUGGAGAACUGUUUGGGUCACAUACUACACUGGCUACACGAAGGUCCCUGUUGCACACGUCACUGUAUGUCCAGAACUGAGAACAGAGUAAUUCCAGGGAGGAAAGAGGUAAAGAAGACCAGAGGACAGCUGAUGGGAUACUCUCCUAGGUGAGGGAAAGGCUUUCAUAAGGUCACAGAAAGAAAAACCCUGAUUGACAGUGAAAUAUGACUCAAGCACAGUUGGUGAAACCUCACUUAAGUGCUCUGCCAACACCGCGGUCUUGGCAGCGCUGAUUUGAUUGGGAACUAUCGGGACGUGACAUGGAAGCAAUUUACAGAGGGAAGUGGGGGAAGAGGAAUAUAAGGAAGGACAAAGGAGACUUUCAAGGUGAACCCUCAAGAGGGGAAGACCAAGAGAGAAGGAGAAGGUGUGAACAACAGAACAUGAGCGUACUAACAGAUGGAGACUUGAGGGAGGAGCAGGGGAGAGAGAGAAACAGAUGACAAAGUGGGAUGACAGCACAUGUACUGCGUGAACAGAGUAGGCUGGCAUGCAGCUAUGGUAACAUGUUGCAAUCAAUAAGACAUGGAAACACUCAGCAUGACUAAGAGAAGCAGUGGCGGGUUGUUUGGGGAGCAGAGUUUACUAAAACACAUUGCACGGUACAGCAGAUCACUCCUUUCAGAAAUGCUCUAGAUCAUGCACAUAUAGGCAGUGCUUUGACUGGUCAAUGAUUGCGUUCACUGUGUCACUGUGAUCUGUAGUCAAAAGUGCAUUUUGGGCAUUGGCUGUUAGCAACUACAAACACCUUUAUUUAUUUAUUUAUUUUUCAUGAUACUUAAAUAAUAAAUGUCCCUCUGCCUCUCUAUGUAUCUAUGGGUGUUUUCACACUUUCAUUUUUGAUUCAAGUGGACCGUCUCAAGUGGACCAAUGACUCAGCAUAUUUCGUGCAUAUGGGGACACACCA